AUUACAAGGUAUGGGUAGAUAUGAAACGUUAACUUAAGCAUCAAAUUCAGAUGACGGUUCUUCUUAUUAAUAUACCUAUAUUAACAGGGCAUUUAUGAGAAAGAAGGGUUACAGUGCGGUGGACAUGUGAUACUGUCAAACAUCCCAAACAACAGGACAGUACAUUUUGUGGAGUAUUUGCAUUGAAGUUUGCAGAAAGACUCCUUGCAAAAGAGGCUGUGGAUUUCCCUGUUUUCACUGAGGCGGUCAACAGCCUCAGGUUUGACAUUGCUGUGAGACUUCUCCUUAACAGUGAUGACUUAGAAGACUUGUGCCACUUCUGCGGAGAGAUGGAAAAAGAG